AGCUAGAUUAUGAUUCUAUUUAAUUUUGUUGUUGUUGUUGUUGUUGUUGUUGUUGUUAUUAUUAUUAUUAUUAUUAUGUUGGCUCUACCUAAAUGUCCUUUUUUAUAUUGUGAUGACAGGAGUUGUAUGUUUUUCUCUGGUCAAUAAUUUUUUCCAAACCUAAUUUCUCUGCUCUCAAAAAGUGAUUUUUUCCCAUGUUUGUUUUCUCUCACUCUGCCUUAUGGUCUAAUUUUGGUUUGGGGUUUAUCUUCUAUGUCUUUGAUAAUUUAAUGCAUUUGAAUUUGAAUAUGGGUACUUGCAGAGUAUCAUCUUAGGCAGUUCAAGGAAAAAAUAGCAAAACUGAGGACACAAUUAUUGGAGCCUCCAAAAGAUUAGCAGGAAAAUCCAUCCUGAGCUUCACCAUUUUGCGAGUGAGGCACUGGUGAUAUGGGUCACUGGGAUGUGGCAGAGCAAGACAUAUAUUCAGAGACCAUAUCUGGAUUGUUGAAACUUUAAAACAAUGUUUUAUUAAUUUAGUUGUUGAACAAUUAUUUAGUUAUUAAUAUUCAACUUUUUUGUUUUGUUAA